rnacentral:rRNA from 1 species
UCGCGUGCGCAGUUCCCGUAGCAAUACGGGGAUGGGCGCACGGCGCACGGGUGCGUAACACGUGGGCAAUCUGCCCUCCGAUGGGGAAUAACCCCGCGAAAGCGGGGCUAAUACCGCAUAACAUUCCUUGGACGAUGGUUCGGAGAUUCAAAGCAGUGAUGCGUCGGGAGAGGAGCCCGCGCCCGAUUAGCUUGUUGGCGGAGUAACGGCUCACCAAGGCAAUGAUCGGUAGCUGGUCUGAGGAGAUGAUCAGCCACACUGGAACUGAGACACGGUCCAGACUCCUACGGGGAGCAGCAGUGGGGAAUCUUGCACAAUGGGCGAAAGCCUGAUGCAGCGACGCCGCGUGGGGGAUGAAGCUUCUCGGAGUGUAAACCCCUUUAGCCUGGGACGAAUGCCCGCAAGGGAGUGACGGUACCAGUAGGAAGAAGCCCCGGCUAACUACGUGCCAGCAGCCGCGGUAAGACGUAGGGGGCCAGCGUUGUUCGGAAUUACUGGGUGUAUAGGGUUCGUAGGCGGUGUGGCAAGUUGGGAGUGAAACCUCUGGGCUCAACCCAGGAGCUGCUUCCAAAACUGCUGUGCUUGAGUGUGAGAGGAGCUCGUGGAAUUGCAGGUGUAGCGGUGAAACGCGUAUAGGAUCUGCAGGAACACCCGUGGCGAAAGCGGCGAGCUGGAUCACUACUGACGCUGGAGAACGAAAGCUAGGGGAGCAAACAGGAUUAUAGGACCCUGGUAGUCCUAGCCCUAAACGAUC